rnacentral:rRNA from 1 species
ACUCUCGGCAACGGAUAUCUCGACUCUUGCAACGAUGAAGAAUGUAGCAAAAUGUGAUACUUGGUGUGAAUUGCUGAAUCCCGUGAACCAUCGAGUCUAGGAACGCCAGUUACGCCUGAAGCCAUUAGGCCCAGGGCACGCCUGUAAUGGUGUUGCACAUCAUUGCCAUGUGCCUUGGCCACGUGCUAGGCACCAAGCGGGGCGAAUGUUGGCUUCCCUUGAGCAAUGUCUCACGGUUGGUUGAAAACUGAGUCCGCACUGGAGGACGCCGUGAUGGAUGAUGGCUGAGCUAAAGCUCGAGACCGAUCGUGUGUGUCACCACCAUCAGCUUUGCGACUCUUUGACCCAUGGGGGUCUAUUGGCCUACUAAUAUAGGAACCUCAGGUCAGGCGAGGCUACCCACUGGUGGGAUCCCCUUGUGGGUUGCAGCGCCGACCGUCCCUGAUCUUCUAUGAAGGGUUCGAGUGAGAGCAUACCUGUCGGGACCCGAAAGAUGGUGAACUAUGCCUGAGUGGGUGAAGCCAAUGGAGGCCUGCAGUGAUAUUGACGUGCAAAUCGUUCGUCUAACUUGGUUAUAAGGGCGAAAGACUAAUCGAACCGUCUAGUAGUUGGUUCGCUCUGAAGUUUCCCUCAGCAUAGUUGGAGCCCACGGGCGAGUUCUAUCGGGUAAAGCCAAUGAUUAGAGGCAUCAGGGGCGCAACGCCCUUGACCUAUUCUCAAACUUUAAUUAGGUAAGACGGUGUGGUUUCUUUGUUGAGCUAUGCCAAAGAAUCGAGAGCUCCAAAUGGGCCAGUUUUGGUAAGCAGAACUGGCGAUGCGGGAGGAACCAGAAGCUGGGUUACGGUUCCCAACUACGCGCUAACCUAGACCCCACAAAGGGUGUUGGUCGAUUAAGAUAGCAGGACAGUGGUCUUGGAAGUCGAAAUCCACUAAGGAGUGUGUAACAACGCACCUGUCGAAUCAAUUAGCCCCGAAAAUGGAUGCGCUAAAGCGCGCAACCUAUACCUGGGCGUAGCGGUCGUUUGUGCAGAUCUUAGUGGUAGUAGCAAAUAUUCAAAUGAUAACUUUGAAGGCCUAACAGGGGAAAUGUUCCAUGUAAACGCCACUUGCACAUGGGUUAGUCAUUUCUAAGGGACGGGGGAAGCCCGUCUGAUAGCGCUCUAAGUGUGCACUUCGAAAGGGAAUUGGGUAAAAAUUCCUGAACCGGGACGUGGCGGCUGAUGGCAACGUUAGGAAGUCCGAAGACGUCGGCGGGGACCCCGGAAAGAGUUAUCUUUACUGUUUAACAUCAUGCCCAUCCUGGAAACGGCUCAGCCAGAGGUAGGGUCCAACUACUGGAAGAGCACUGCAUGUCAUGUGUUUUUUUGUGCCUCCCACGCCCGGACGUACUCCUAACCGCAAUAGGUCUCCAAGGUGAACAAGCUCUGGUCAAUGGAACAAUGUAGGCAAGGGAAGUCAGCAAAAUGGAUUCAUAACCUUGGGAAAAGAAUUGGCUCUAAGGGCUAGGCAUAGGGGUCCAAGUCCCGAACCCAUUGGCUGUCGGUGGACUGCUCGAGCUGCUAUCAUGGCGAGACGGGUCGCCCAUGCCGGUCGGGGGACAGAUUGGGAACAAGCCCUUUGGGGCCUCUUCCCCAAGUGUCGAACAGUCGACUCAGAACUGGUAUAGACAAGGGGAAUCCGACUGUUUAAUUAAAACAAAGCAUUGUGAUGGUCCCUGCGGAUGUUGACGUAAUGUGAUUUCUGCCUAGUGCUCUGAAUAUAAAAGUGAAGAAAUUCAACCAAGUUCAGGUAAACGGCAAGAAUAACUAUCACUCUCUUAAGGUAGCCAAAUGCCUCGUCAUCCAAUUAGUGACGCACAUGAAUGGAUUAACGAGAUUCCAAUUGUCCUUGUCUACUAUCCAACGAAACCACAACCAAGGGAACGAGCUUGGUGGAAUUAGCAGCGAAAGAAGACCAUGUUGAGCUUGACUCUAGUCCGACUUUGUGAGAUGACUUGAGAGGUGUAGGAUAAGUGGGAGCUGGAAACAGCGGAAGUGAAAUACCACUACUUUUGGACCCAAGGUCGGCCUUGAUUGGUCGAUCCGGACGGAAGACAUUGUUAGGUGGGGAGUUUAGCUGGGGUGGCACAUCUAUUAAAAUAUAACACAGGUGUCCUAAGAUGAGCUCAACGAGAACAGAAAUCUCGCGUGGCAUAAAAGGGUAAAAGCUCGUUUGAUUUUGAUUUCCAAUACAAAUACGAACCGUGAAAGCGUGGCCUAUCGAUCCUUUAGUCCUUUGGAAUUUGAAGAUAGAGGUGUCAGAAAAGUUACCACAAGGAUAAUUGGCUUGUGGCAUCUAGGCGUUCAUAGUGAUGUUGCUUUUUGAUCCUUCGAUGUCGGCUCUACCUAUCAUUGUGAAGUAGAAUUCACCAAGUGUUGGAUUGUUCACCAACCAAUAGGGAACGUGAGCUGGGUUUAGACCAUCGUGAGAUAGGUUAGUUUUACCUUACUGAUGACAGUGUCGCAAUAGUAAUUCAACCUAGUACGAGAGGAAUUGUUGAUUCGCACAAUUGGUCAUCGCGCUUAGUUGAAAAGCCAGUGGCGUGAAGCUAUCAUGCAUUGGAUUAUGAUGGAACGCCUCUAAGUCAAAAUUCGGUCUAGAAGCGAUGUCUAUGCCCGUCGCCCGUUUGCCAACCAGAAGUAGGGGGCCUCGGCCCCCCAGAGGCACGUGUCGUUGAUGACCCCCUCAGGGUGGACGAGUCUCGCAGGACGCCUAGAAGCGCUAUUCCCCACUGCCACGAUCCAUUGAGAUUCAGCCCU